rnacentral:rRNA from 1 species
AUUGAACGCUGGCGGCAGGCCUAACACAUGCAAGUCGAACGAGUGGCGGACGGGUGAGUAAUGUCUUGGAAACUGCCUGAUGGAGGGGGAUAACUACUGGAAACGGUAGCUAAUACCGCAUACCCUCAGAUGUGCCCAGAUGGGAUUGGCUUGGUGGUGGGGUAACGGCUCACAAAGGCGACGAUCCCUAGCAGGUCUGAGAGGAUUACCAGCCACACUGGACAUUGGACACGGUCCAGACUCCUACGGGAGGCAGCAGUGGGGAAUAUUGCACAAUGGGCGCAAGCCUGAUGCAGCCAUGCCGCGUGUAGGAAGAAGGCCUUCGGGUUGUAAAGUACUGUCGGCGGGGAGGCGUUACCCGCAGAAGAAGCACCGGCUAACUCCGUGCCAGCCGCCGCGGUAAUAC